rnacentral:rRNA from 1 species
UACGUAGGGAGCAAGCGUUGUCCGGAAUCAUUGGGCGUAAAGAGCUCGUAGGCGGUUUGUCGCGUCGGCUGUGAAAACCUGGGGCUCAACCCCGGGCCUGCAGCCGAUACGGGCAAACUAGAAUUCGGUAGGGGAGACUGGAAUUCCUGGUGUAGCGGUGAAAUGCGCAGAUAUCAGGAGGAACACCGGUGGCGAAGGCGGGUCUCUGGGCCGAUACUGACGCUGAUGCGCGAAAGCCAGGGGAGCGAACGGG